rfam:Melampsora larici-populina 98AG31 unplaced genomic scaffold MELLAscaffold_65, whole genome shotgun sequence.
GGCCCUUUGGCCAAGUGGUAAGGUGUUCUCCUCCGGCCCCGCGGGGGAUCGCAAGAGAAAGAUCGCUGGUUCAAUCCCAGCAUGGGUCG